UACGGAGGGAGCUAGCGUUGUUCGGAAAUACUGGGCGUAAGCGCACGUAGGCGGCGCAGCAAGUCAGGGGUGAAAUCCCGGGGCUCAACCCCGGAACUGCCUCUGAAACUGCAGUGCUAGAAUCUUGGAGAGGCGAGUGGAAUUCCGAGUGUAGAGGUGAAAUUCGUAGAUAUUCGGAAGAACACCAGUGGCGAAGGCGACUCGCUGGACAAGUAUUGACGCUGAGGUGCGAAAGCGUGGGGAGCAAACAGG
rnacentral:rRNA from 1 species